rnacentral:tRNA from 1 species
GAGAGUGUAGCUCAGUGGUGGAGCAUGUGCUUAGCAUGCAUGAAGUCCUGGGUUCAAUCCCCAGUACCUCCA